rnacentral:rRNA from 1 species
AUUGAACGCUGGCGGCAUGCUUUACACAUGCAAGUCGAACGGCAGCGCGGGCUUCGGCCUGGCGGCGAGUGGCGAACGGGUGAGUAAUACAUCGGAACGUGCCCAGUAGUGGGGGAUAGCUCGGCGAAAGCCGGAUUAAUACCGUAUACGACCUGAGGGUGAAAGCGGGGGAUCUUCGGACCUCGCGCUAUUGGAGCGGCCGAUGGCAGAUUAGCUAGUUGGUGGGGUAAAGGCCUACCAAGGCGACGAUCUGUAGCUGGUCUGAGAGGACGACCAGCCACACUGGGACUGAGACACGGCCCAGACUCCUACGGGAGGCAGCAGUGGGGAAUUUUGGACAAUGGGCGAAAGCCUGAUCCAGCAAUGCCGCGUGUGUGAUGAAGGCCUUCGGGUUGUAAAGCACUUUUGGCGGGAACGAAAAGGACUGUGCCAAUACCACGGUUCGAUGACGGUACCCGCAGAAUAAGCACCGGCUAACUACGUG